GGAACACUUUUCGUGGAUAUCUGAAUUCGUGGUUUGGCCAAGUCCGCAAAAAAACCAAGAGAACAUGUGCUUUUCAUUGAACCUUUAACUACGUGGUUCAUCUGUACCAACGAAAGUUACGAAAAUAGAAGAUUUGUCCUUAGAUAUAAUGUACCCUGCCACCGAAGUGCUUCACAAAAAGACGAUUGUUUGGUUCAUUAAAAUCUUUAAACUGA